rnacentral:rRNA from 1 species
GGCAAGCUUGCUGGGCAAUACUAUUUGGAUAGAGCUCAGUAUUUGGUGCAAAGGCAAGGUUGGUUAGGAAAAGAAGCUUGGGUUGUUGUAGUUGAUGAGUGGUGCAGUGAAGAGUGGAUUGCAAAAUCAAAGAGAUACCGUGCCAAUCAUUGCAGCUCAAAGUUCAAGCCUCACAAGGGUGGUUCCAACUCGAUGACUACUAUAAGUCAAAAAAUGUCCGAACAAACCGGCGAAGAUGUUAACCAGGUUCAGGCUUGGGUGCAUACACAUAGAGGAUUGGACAAGAGAAAACCUUUAAUUCUCAACACACCAGAAGCAACUAAAUGUUUGGCACUUUAUACAGAAAAGGCUAAAGAGUUAGAUGGAGAGGACUAUGAUAUCCUGAAAAAUGAUGUUAGUUCUAAGGCACUUUAUGAUUGCUCUAAUGGGAAGCCACAUGGUACAUGGUCUCUCUUUAAUGGCAUUGUCAAUGACAUCGAGGUCAUUUUUGAGGUGAGAGCUACUGGUACAUCUUCAGGAGCCUUGAAGCGUCGUCGAGCUGAAGAAAUUGAAGAUGUGCGUCAAAAGGAGUCCGAGAAGACUCGAAAAGCAGAGGCUUAUGCCAACAAUGUCUUGUCAUGGGGUGUUGGGAUGUACAAGCACUGCAAUGAGAUACAAAAGUUUCUUCAGACUUUGGCAACUAAGCAAGGAGUGCCUAUUGGAGAAAUACCACUGCCACCGGUUCCACCUCCU